CCCAGCAUGGUACUAGAGUGUACUAUGUUAUUUAUACGCACACAGAUAAAUCCGCGAGCGCACGGAUACCGUUGUAGCUUUUACCCGGUUAAAGGUUUUAUCGUAUCCACAGGGAAACGGGAGAACUGAUCUACGCUCUAACUUAACCUAGAUAGAUGGGUAAGUGUAAAUAGGAAAGAUGGUAGAAUUGAAUAAGAACAAUAUUAAAGGUAAAAUGAUAAUGGGGGAAUAUAGAGUAGAGCAAUCUAAUAUAUGGGCGAUGGUAGGAGUAUAGAGAGGAUAACUAUGGUUUCUCUACUUCAAAGGGGUAUGUCUAUGUCUGGGACGAACCACGUGAUAAGAAUACACCACAAAGGAUGCUUAUCCAUGGGCCGAUAAACCCUACCAGUCCUGCUAACGAGAGGUGGACUUCAGGGGACCAACGUAACUGACACCUACGCGGCCUACCACACG
rnacentral:lncRNA from 1 species